GACAGAGGGGGCAAGCGUUGCUCGGAAUCACUGGGCGUAAAGGGCGCGUAGGCGGGAUGGCGAGUCGGUCGUGAAAUCCUUCGGCUCAACCGAAGAACGUCGGCCGAUACUGCCGUUCUUGAGGGAUGCAGAGGAGAUUGGAAUUCCCGGUGUAGCGGUGAAAUGUGUAGAGAUCGGGAGGAACACCGGUGGCGAAGGCGGGUCUCUGGGCAUCUCCUGACGCUGAGGCGCGAAAGCGUGGGGAGCAAACGGG
rnacentral:rRNA from 1 species